CCCUUUUAAUGGUCUCCCUUAAGCUGACUUGGUGAAGCCAGUGGGAGGAUCAUGAUAAGCUGGUUCAUCUGACCUCAUUCUCUAAAUCAUUUAAAUCCUCUAAAAUUAUUAGGUCCUUAAAAUGAUAAAGUUAUAGAGAUAACUGAGUCAUAGCCUCCCAUUAAGGUGUUUGAUAAUGAGUCCAUUAACUCAAUAAUCA
rnacentral:lncRNA from 1 species